rnacentral:rRNA from 1 species
UAGGGAAUCUUCGGCAAUGGACGAAAGUCUGACCGAGCAACGCCGCGUGAGUGAAGAAGGUUUUCGGAUCGUAAAACUCUGUUGUUAGAGAAGAACAAGGACGUUAGUAACUGAACGUCCCCUGACGGUAUCUAACCAGAAAGCCACGGCUAACUACGUGCCAGCAGCCGCGGUAAUACGUAGGUGGCAAGCGUUGUCCGGAUUUAUUGGGCGUAAAGCGAGCGCAGGCGGUUUCUUAAGUCUGAUGUGAAAGCCCCCGGCUCAACCGGGAAGGGUAAUUGGAAACUGGGAGACUUGAGUGCAGAAGAGGAGAGUGGAAUUCCAUGUGUAGCGGUGAAAUGCGUAGAUAUAUGGAGGAACACCAGUGGCGAAGGCAGCUCUCUAGUCUGUAAAUAACGCUGAGGCUCUAAAGCGAGGGGAGCAAACAGG